UUGCACGAAAAUAUUUUUUGACAAUAGUGAAAUUUCUAGUCCUGCCGAACACAUUUGAUUACCGUUUAAAACACGGAAAAAUUGGCUCAAAUUUAACGAUGUGGCUUUAAAUGAAAAUUCCGAUUGCAUCCGUGUGGUCCGGGCAAAAUACUUACUGCGAGUAUCAGAACUGUCAGAAAUGUUGCACUGGUAACCAAGUUAUAGCAGUUGCUACCCUCCAAAAUACAUGCUUUUUAUUACCAUCUGGAAGAGCGGAACAUUUUGGGGGCCACCAGGAGCUCGAGAUUUGUGCGCUGACAGGAAGCAACUUUUGGCUGACUCAUGGCAGUUGAUUUACUGCUCACCGGGUACGGGAAUGGGUAAUGGUACUAUGCAGUUGAAUCGUCUCCCCAGCUCUCCCCCACCACCUGCAGCGAUUUCCUCGCCGAGCUCAACCAUCACAUCGGAGUCCGGGCAGUGACUCGUACUCGUCUCGAGAAUGCUGAUCCCGGUGGUGUUAU